rnacentral:lncRNA from 1 species
GGAUUAGCUCGCGCGUGCUUAUGGUGGGACUCUUGUACCCUUCUCUUUUGCCUCACUCUCUAUAACUAAGCACUCCGGUUGAGGGCACAAUUCUCUUGAAUCUGUGCUAAAAAGAAGUGGAAGAUGAGUGAUACUGGAUAUAGCGGUGGAUCAAGUCCGGAUAACGGCAACGGCGCUGAUAACAACCCAAAUCGUGGCCAGGGUAGGCGCCGUGCGACGUUUGCCGCCACCAAGAUGAAGCCGCCACAACGGGGAAAAGUUUUUAAAAAGAUCUUUGCUGAUUUGACUGGACAUCCUGCUUCUCAGCCUGCACCCAAUUGAGGUUCAAUUAGUGGUGGCUAAUAUGUAAAUAGUAUGUGGCUUUUGCUUGUGGUUCUACUCUUCUAGAGGACUUUCAUUGUUGCUCUGUUCGAUCCAGUUAUCAAUAAAUCUCAGUUCCUCUGUAUCUGUUAACUGCAUCUGUUGACAGUUAUGUGGCUUUUGCUUAUGGUAUUAGUCUUCUAAUGUGUGUUUGUCACCCAUUAUUUGGGAGAAUCUUUAUUUAACAGUGAUUGAUGUUGAAAUAUGUGGUUAAAAAAAAAAGUUUUUGAUUUACC